UCCUUCUCCGGUAGUUAUUGAAAAACUCAACAACGAAGUUGAUGUGGAAGUUAUCGCAGAGAAUAGUAUCGAACUGGAAGAAUCAUCUGAAAUCUGGGAAAUAAAUAGUAAUUCUAAUGAAACGUUUUCAACUUCUGCAGAUAAUCAAUUGCUUAAAAAAAAAGAGACGACUAAAUUACCUGAAAAACUUU